GUAUCUUUCCAACCGAGGUGUUGCUUUUUUAUUUCUUCUUUCUCUUUUGGGUUUCUCUUUUGUUUGGUUGUUGUAGCAACGAAGACGAAGGGAGAU
rnacentral:ribozyme from 1 species